rnacentral:rRNA from 1 species
AUUGAACGCUGGCGGCAGGCCUAACACAUGCGAGUCGAGCGGAUGAAGGGAGCUUGCUCCUGGAUUCAGCGGCGGACGGGUGAGUAAUGCCUAGGAAUCUGCCUGGUAGUGGGGGAUAACGUCCGGAAACGGGCGCUAAUACCGCAUACGUCCUGAGGGAGAAAGUGGGGGAUCUUCGGACCUCACGCUAUCAGAUGAGCCUAGGUCGGAUUAGCUAGUUGGUGGGGUAAAGGCCUACCAAGGCGACGAUCCGUAACUGGUCUGAGAGGAUGAUCAGUCACACUGGAACUGAGACACGGUCCAGACUCCUACGGGAGGCAGCAGUGGGGAAUAUUGGACAAUGGGCGAAAGCCUCAUCCAGCCAUGCCGCGUGUGUGAAGAAGGUCUUCGGAUUGUAAAGCACUUUAAGUUGGGAGGAAGGGCAGUAAGUUAAUACCUUGCUGUUUUGACGUUACCAACAGAAUAAGCACCGGCUAACUUCGUG